CCUACGGGGGGCAGCAGUGAGGAAUAUUGGUCAAUGGCCGCAGGGCUGAACCAGCCAAGUCGCGUGAGGGAUGACGGUCCUAUGGAUUGUAAACCUCUUUUGUCAGGGAGCAAAGGGCGCCACGUGUGGCGCUUUGCGAGUACCUGAAGAAAAAGCAUCGGCUAACUCCGUGCCAGCAGCCGCGGUAAUACGGAGGAUGCGAGCGUUAUCCGGAUUUAUUGGGGUUAAAGGGUGCGCAGGCGGAAUGUCAAGUCAGCGGUAAAAUUUCGGGGCUCAACCCCGUCGUGCCGUUGAAACUGGCGUUCUUGAGUGAGCGAGAAGUAUGCGGAAUGCGUGGUGUAGCGGUGAAAUGCAUAGAUAUCACGCAGAACUCCGAUUGCGAAGGCAGCAUACCGGCGCUCAACUGACGCUCAUGCACGAAGGCGUGGGUAUCGAACAGGAUUAGAUACCCGGGUAGUC
rnacentral:rRNA from 1 species